UACAGAGGGUGCGAGCGUUAAUCGGAAUUACUGGGCGUAAAGCGCACGUAGUCGGCUUUGCAAGUCGGGUGUGAAAUCCCCAGGCUUAACCUGGGAACUGCAUUCGAGACUGCAUAGCUAGAGUAUGGGAGAGGGAAGUGGAAUUUCAGGUGUAGCGGUGAAAUGCGUAGAUAUCUGGAGGAACACCGGUGGCGAAGGCGGCUCUCUGGACCGACACUGACGCUGAGGCGCGAAAGCGUGGGGAGCAAACAGG
rnacentral:rRNA from 1 species